rnacentral:misc_RNA from 1 species
AGCACCACAGAACCUGCUGUUC